rnacentral:rRNA from 1 species
AACGAACGCUGGCGGCAGGCUUAACACAUGCAAGUCGAACGAGAUCUUCGGAGCUAGUGGCAGACGGGUGAGGAACACGUGGGAACAUCCCUUUCAGUUCGGAAUAACGUUGGGAAACUAACGCUAAUACCGGAUACGUCCUUCGGGAGAAAGAUUUAUCGCUGAAAGAUUGGCCCGCGUCUGAUUAGCUAGUUGGUGAGGUAACGGCUCACCGAGGCUACGAUCAGUAGCUGAUCUGAGAGGAUGAUCAGCCACAUUGGGACUGAGACACGGCCCAAACUCCUACGGGAGGCAGCAGUGGGGAAUAUUGGACAAUGGGCGCAAGCCUGAUCCAGCCAUGCCGCGUGAGUGAUGACGGCCUUCGGGUUGUAAAGCUCUUUUGUCCGGGAAGAUAAUGACUGUACCGGAAGAAUAAGCCCCGGCAAACUUCGUGCCAGCCGCCGCAGUAACAC